GAUGAACGCUGGCGGCGUGCCUAAUACAUGCAAGUCGAGCGAACAGAUGAGGAGCUUGCUCCUCUGACGUUAGCGGCGGACGGGUGAGUAACACGUGGAUAACCUACCUAUAAGACUGGGAUAACUUCGGGAAACCGGAGCUAAUACCGGAUAAUAUAUUGAACCGCAUGGUUCAAUAGUGAAAGACGGUUUUGCUGUCACUUAUAGAUGGAUCCGCGCCGCAUUAGCUAGUUGGUAAGGUAACGGCUUACCAAGGCAACGAUGCGUAGCCGACCUGAGAGGGUGAUCGGCCACACUGGAACUGAGACACGGUCCAGACUCCUACGGGAGGCAGCGAUAGGGAAUCUUCCGCAAUGGGCGAAAGCCUGACGGAGCAACGCCGCGUGAGUGAUGAAGGUCUUCGGAUCGUAAAACUCUGUUAUUAGGGAAGAACAAAUGUGUAAGUAACUAUGCACGUCUUGACGGUACCUAAUCAGAAAGCCACGGCUAACUACGUG
rnacentral:rRNA from 1 species